GAUGAACGCUGGCGGCGUGCUUAACACAUGCAAGUCGAACGAUGAAGCCCAGCUUGCUGGGUGGAUUAGUGGCGAACGGGUGAGUAACACGUGAGUAACCUGCCCUUAACUCUGGGAUAAGCCUGGGAAACUGGGUCUAAUACCGGAUAGGAGCGCCUACCGCAUGGUGGGUGUUGGAAAGAUUUAUCGGUUUUGGAUGGACUCGCGGCCUAUCAGCUUGUUGGUGAGGUAAUGGCUCACCAAGGCGACGACGGGUAGCCGGCCUGAGAGGGUGACCGGCCACACUGGGACUGAGACACGGCCCAGACUCCUACGGGAGGCAGCAGUGGGGAAUAUUGCACAAUGGGCGAAAGCCUGAUGCAGCGACGCCGCGUGAGGGAUGACGGCCUUCGGGUUUGUAAACCUCUUUCAGUAGGGAAGAAGCGAAAGUGACGGUACCUGCAGAAGAAGCACCGGCUAACUACGUG
rnacentral:rRNA from 1 species